rnacentral:lncRNA from 1 species
UUGUUUAAUAUGAAUGAUCGUUUCUCAAAUAAAUGAGCAAACCAUGAUAGAGCUUGUCCCGUAAGUAAGGUUCCAACAAGUCCAACACGUGACUCCUCCGUUGGAUAUCGUUCGGGCUGUAAAACUGUUAUCAACCUGAUUUGAUUGACAAAUCCUUGAAACUUGGAACGUGUUCCAUCAAACUUAUCUAGAAGGCUAACUCGAGGC